rnacentral:rRNA from 1 species
AACGAACGCUGGCGGCAGGCUUAACACAUGCAAGUCGAACGCCCCGCAAGGGGAGUGGCAGACGGGUGAGUAACGCGUGGGAACAUACCCUUUCCUGCGGAAUAGCUCUGGGAAACUGGAAUUAAUACCGCAUACGCCCUACGGGGGAAAGAUUUAUCGGGGAAGGAUUGGCCCGCGUUGGAUUAGCUAGUUGGUGGGGUAAAGGCCUACCAAGGCGACGAUCCAUAGCUGGUCUGAGAGGAUGAUCAGCCCCAUUGGGACUGAGACACGGCCCAAACUCCUACGGGAGGCAGCAGUGGGAAUAUUGGACAAUGGGCGCAAGCCUGAUCCAGCCAUGCCGCGUGAGUGAUGAAGGCCUUAGGGUUGUAAAGCUCUUUCACCGAUGAAGAUAAUGACGGUAGUCGGAGAAGAAGCCCCGGCUAACUUCGUGCCAGCCGCCGCAGUAACAC